GUGAUGGGAGAGCGUGCACGGGGGGGAGAUGCAGCGAGAAGAUGCCAGGCAGUCCAGGCAGAGGUUGGAGGAGGCCUGGCGGGGCAGGGCUGGGGUUCGGCCUCCCCUCCCCCUCCUAUGCUGGCACCUCAGGACCCUCAUGGCACUGCAGAGGCCCGUAUCACCCUGGUCUCGGGGUCUCAGGCUCUUCCCAGCCUACCAGAGAGCUGUUCCUGCCCAGUGAGCCUGAGCUCUGGGUCCCCCACCUGGCCCUCUGUGUGGUCCUGGGCCAGGGAGCCAGACUCCCGGAGGCUCGGUCUCUCUUCCGCAAACCGUGACUUCAUGACAACAGCGCUGCUCCUCCCGGUCGGUAAGGGUCGAAAUGGGCACAUGGUGCAAGCCUGGCGCUCAAAGGCCCCUGCCUGUGGGGUGGAGCACCUGCCAUCCUUUCGGAACCCCUGGCGCUGCUGGCGCCAGGCCAAGCGGGGACCUCAGCAUUCAUGAAGCCACCAUCCACCUGAGCCAUCCCGGGCAAACCCCUCCCUCUCCGGGCCUCAGUGUGUCCUCUGUAAAAGGAGCAGUCCCCACUGGAGGGCCUAGAAGGGGCUGGCAUUCUGUGCAUUGAUGCGUGAGGACCUGUAGCGUGUGUGUGAAUGCAAGCACACACACACACACAAACACAGCCCCGACUGGGAGAAGUCAACUGUCAAGCACAGUGUCUUAAAAUGUGCUUAUUUAUUUGGCUUGUUUGUGCCCUAUCUCCUUGGCUGCCUUUAUAAAUAUUUAUCAAUGUUGUUGCAGUGACAUUUCCUGGGAGGAGGUGAGAAUGGGAGGGGAGGAAAGGAUGCCAGAGGGGAGCUGACAGGCUGAUGGAGAAGGGGCCGAGGCCCUAGCCCCAGCAGUGGGCAAGGAGGGAGACGGGGCGGGGCUCCCAGGAGGAGGGAGAGGAUCGAGUUGGAGACCUGACCCAGGACGUACCUGCUUGGAUUUGAAAGUGGGACUCAAAUUUCGGGUGAAGAUGAAUCAGGACUACGAAAGCCAUGUGCCUUCUGCCCCUGCAGAGUGACCAGACCUUUCACCAUCCACAUGGUUAUUUAUUAAACACCAACAGUUGGCACUGACUUGCUGUAUGCUAAGCAUGGUUUUGAGUAUUUA
rnacentral:lncRNA from 1 species